rnacentral:lncRNA from 1 species
UGCAUCGUAUAUGCAUAUUUAGAUCGGAUUAUGAUAUAUCUAUUAUGUUACAAAAGAAUUUUGAUGUGCAUCAGAUUUAGAACUCUCAGCCUGGCUAUGUUCUGGACCCUGCCAAUAGGGGGUUAUGCAUUGACAAUUCUGGCUCCACCACAGGGUAUAAGUGUGGUAUUCUGGCCCACUCCGCAGGGUAUAAGUGCGGUAUUCUGGCCCACUCCGCAGGGUAUAAGUGCGGUAUUCUGGCCCACUCCGCAGGGUAUAAGUGCGGUUCUGUUUCUGGCCUAGCCACAGGGUAUAAGUGUGGUCGUAGUUAAAGGCUGAUGAGAUGAAUAUGAUUUGUUUCGAAUCAGAUUUAUGAUUAUGUAUAUAGAUAUUUGAAAAAUACGAAUUUUAAUGAAUUUGUGCUUGAAAAGAAAUUGAUUAUGUUAUUAUGUUGAUUCAUCGUAAUUUGUAUUUAUAUUUUAUGUUAUUAUAUGAAUUGACUAGUUAAGGUGUUUAUUACUUACUGGGCUGUCUAGCUCAUUAUACAAUUUCUUGUUGUUUGACAGAUUUUGAGAACUAACCUUCGGGGAUUUAAAAUGGGAGAGCGACUAGAAGAACUGAAGCACAAGUUAUCCUAGAUUAGGCUUUAUUUAAAUUGAUGUUUUAUCUUUAUUGUUCCGCUGCGUAUUUAGAACUG